UGGGAAACACUGCUUUAGCACAUACAUGUGUGCUAUAGCUAACGAUGAACUGCAACGAUUUGAGUUAGUCAUGUUUUUAGAUACUUUGCUAUUACACAUUAAGUGUUUGCAGUUUUAUGCUAAGAAAUAUUGCUUCUCAGUGGGCUCAAAUGAAAUAAGUUAACCAAAUGUUUACACACUAUCACAGCAGUGAAAAAUGUCAAUUGUAGUUAAUUUAGUGAAUUGAA